AGGCAGAGAGGUGGUGGCGGUGGGCAGAGCAGGUCUCAGGGGAGGGGCAGAGAGGUGGGGGUGGUGGGCAGAGCAGGUCUCAGGGGAGGGGCAGAGAGGUGGGGGCGGUGGGCAGAGCAGGUCUCAGGGGAGGGGCAGAGAGGUGUGGGUGGUGGGCAGAGCAGGUCAGGGGAGGGGCAGAGAGGUGUGGGCGGUGGGCAGAGCAGGUCUCAGGGGAGGGGCAGGGAGGUGUGGGUGGUGGGCAGAGCAGGUCUCAGGGGAGGGGCAGAGAGGUGGGGGUGGUGGGUUGAGCAGGUCUCAGGGGAGGGGCAGAGAGGUGUGGGUGGGGGGCAGAGCAGGUCUCAGGGGAGGGCAGAGAGGUGUGUGUGAUGGGCAGACCUUGGGGCAGAGGGUGUAGAGGCACGAGCAUCAGGCAAGGCAGCCUCGGGGAGGAGAGAAGCGCGCAAGAGGCGGACUAGCUUCUAGGGAUCUUCCAGCGCUCACCUCCAGCUUCCCCAAUGCCAGAGUCACGGGCCACCUGUUCUCUGGGUCUUCACUAACCAAGCCCCUCCCCGAGCUAUGCUGAUGGGAGAUGCCCUCCUGUUGGCACAGCGCUAUCUGCACCGGGGUUAGGUGGCUCUAGCUGGCCAUCUGCCGCGCAAGCAUAAAGCUGUGAGUGGAGCUUUUCCCCUGUCUGGGCUUCUGUAUCACGUGCGUGUGGGGAACCGGUCAUGUGACUCCGGCUGGCGGCGGGCGCUGCUGAAGGCUUGAGGGGUGAGCAGGGCUGUGGGCAUUAGGGACCCCUGUGCGCGCCGGCAGGAUGCAGAACAUCAUCAAUAUGUUGAAGGGGAAGGUGCUGGAGGUGGCCGAGUACCUCACUCCCACGCUCAAAGUACCGUCCGGUGGGGCCGCAGCAGCCUGACCCUGGGUGGAGGGGGUGGGCCAGGAGAUGCCUCUUCCCGUCGGACCCUCCCACUCCCAGG